rnacentral:lncRNA from 1 species
GGGUAAUGGCCCGGGUCGACGGAGCUCGGCUUCCAGAAUCUUCUCGGCCGGCCACACCCUCAGCAUUGAAGGUUUCCUACGCCGCCGUGAGGCUUUGCGCAGCUCGCCCUGCGGCCCUUUAGUCUUGAAAAAUAGUGCGAGAGCUAAUGGCUCAUCAUGGAUUGUUCCUGAAUGAGACUCAUGUCCUUGCGCUUGGGCUCGCCCCUCAGAAGUGGCUGUCCAGAUCGUGAAACUUUCCCCUUGUAGGCAUGAAUGUCCUAGAACUCAUUAUUUAGCCCAGGCCGGCCUCGAAUUCACAGAGAUGCCACCUGCCUACCUCUGUCUCCCAAGUGCCACUACACCUGGUUUUUGAGGCCCAGGUGAUUUGAGAUGACACUUCUAGCAAGAGAAAGAGUACCUUGGUUUCACAAAGGAAGGAUAAAGUUCCCGGGCCAUAUCCCAUCCUCUCUGGCCAAAAAAACUCAGACUCUGCCAAGUAAGCUGUACUUCCUCAUCAUACGGAACUGCCAGAUAGAUGCUUGGUAUUUUCUUAGGUGCACCACUGCCUUCGCUAAGUGGACAUGAGGGAUACAGCUCGGGACGUGGCUCUCCGAAAAAAGGGGCUUUCAGGACUAGGUGUAGGGACAAAGAGAAAGUUCCUGCUGGGACCCUGAGUAUAAGAAGCUGAACUCAAAAGAUUUGAGGCAUUAGAUUCAUCACAUUUGUCGUUUUAAAAAAGAAUAUUAAGGGGGCUGAAGAGAUGGCUCAGCGGUUAAGAGCACUGACUGCUCUUCUGGAGGUCCUGAGUUCAAAUCCCAACAACCACAUGGUGGCUCACAACCAUUUGUCACGAGAUCUAAUUCCCUCUUCUGGUGUCUGAAGACAGCUACAGUGUACUUACAUACAAUAAAUAAAUCUUUUAAAAAAAUAUAUUAGAGCCAGGCAGUGGUGGUGCACACCUUUAAUCCCAGCACUUGGGAGGCAGAGGCAGGCCGAUUUCUGAGUUCGAGACCAGCCUGGUCAACUGAGUGAGUUCCAGGACAGCCAGGGCUACACAGAGAAACCCUAUCUUGAGAAAGAAAAAAAAUAUUAGGAUGCUACUCCAAUUACAUGUAAGGU